rnacentral:ncRNA from 1 species
UCAAAGGCUCUUUUCAGAGCCACCCACUAAUUCUUUUAAAAGUGCU